ACUGGAAAUUCAGAAAUCUGGUCAUACAGCAGCUCCUGGCCAUGCCUCAGACCAUACUCACCUCAGCACUACACCACCUGUUAUUACUGCCUUUGAGUCCUCAAAAUUAUCUCACAUUUCCCCUUCCCCAUUAGUCCAUUCCUCAUCAUUCUCUGCACCAUCACCUUUUUUCUCCUCAUCCUUCUCACCUUCUGCUCACUCAUCAUCUCCCCCACAACCAUCACUCCCUCCUGCCUCUCCAUUUACUCAUCCUGAAGCCAUAUUUGCCAUGCACCAAACUUCUGCCACAGUUCACCCUGCUGAUCCCAGCCAAUUUAUCAUCAAGGACUCCACUUUCCAGGAGGCUCUGGAAUGUAACUCCCACAGAUGGCAGGGAAACACUGCAUAUCUUCCCUCCCACAACAGCGAUGCACUUAAUGAAUUGGGCCGAGAUAAUUAGUGAAAGCUUUCUGUGUUAAAGAGAUGCAGCUAGUGAGCCAAUAUAUAUACUGAUCAUUCAUUUAAUCCUUUAUGUCAUAAAACUUCUCUGAAAAAAUCUAGUGAAUAAUUUUUCCUCUAUCACUGCACUGUCCUUGAUCUAAAUUACAUAUUAAAACUACACAUGAUAGUGUAAUGAUCAGUAUGCUUGGCUCACAAACCACAUAUAUAUAUAUAUAUAUAUAUAUAUAUAUAUAUAUAUAUAUAUAUAUAUAUAUAUAUAUAUAUAUAUAUAUAUAUAUAUAUAUAUAUAUAUAUAUAUAUAUAUAUAUAUAUAUAUAUAUAUAUAUAUAUAUAUAUAUAUAUAUAUAUAUAUAUAUAUAUAUAUAUAUGCUUGGCUUUGUCUCCAAACUCUCCCCCAUAGAGAGACUGUAUUAACCUGCAGAAAUAAAGCUAUCAUUCAGGGAAACUGGUUUGUUUGCCAAACAAACAUUACAUUGCUGAAUAUUCUGUGGCACCAAAUGCUUUGUCAGGAAUUGUGGCAAUGAUAUUUCAAUCCUUGUCUUUGCAUCCUACAAUUUGUAUGCUGAACAUAAACCUUAUCAACAAG